rnacentral:rRNA from 1 species
CGUGUAGGCGGACGUGUAAGUCCGGUGUAAAAGCCCCCGGCUCAACCGGGGAAGGCCAUCGGAGACUGCAUGUCUGGAGUGCGGGAGGGGAGAGUGGAACUCUUGGUGGAGCGGUGAAAUGCGUAGAUAUCAAGAGGAACGCCGGUGGCGAAAGCGGCUCUCUGGCCCGUUACUGACGCUGAGGCGCGAAAGCUAGGGGAGCAAACGGGAUUAGAUACCCCGGUAGUCCUAGCCCUAAACGAUGGGUACUAAGUAGGGGCGGCUCCGAUGUCGUCUCUGCUGUAGCCAAUGUGCUAAGUACCCCGCCUGGGGAUACGGUCGCAAGGCUGAA